UUGACCUUUGUGUAGAAACACCAUGUCAGAAUGGAGGAACCUGCACUUUUGUUGAUAGUUCUCGAACUUGUGCAUGUCCUAGCACCCACCAGGGAGUAAACUGUGAAACAGAGAUUGACCUUUGUGUAGAAACACCAUGUCAGAAUGGAGGAACCUGCACUUUUGUUGAUAGUACUCGAACUUGUGCAUGCCCUAGCACCCACCAGGGAGUAAACUGUGAAACAGAGAUUGACCUUUGUGUAGAAACACCAUGUCAGAAUGGAGGAACCUGC